UACAGAGGUCUCGAGCGUUAUGCGGAAUCACUGGGCUUAAAGCGUGUGUAGGCGGAUUGCUAAGUACCUUGUGAAAUCCCACGGCUUAACCGUGGAACUGCUUGGUAUACUGGCUGUCUUGAGCCACUUAGGGGCAACCGGAACAAACGGUGGAGCGGUGAAAUGCGUAGAUAUCGUGUGGAACGCCAAUGGUGAAAACAGGUUGCUGGGAGUGUGCUGACGCUGAGACACAAAAGCCAGGGGAGCAAACGGG
rnacentral:rRNA from 1 species